UUGACGGGGCCGCACAAGCGGUGGAGCAUGUGGUUAAUUCGAUGAUACGCGAGGAACCUUACCUGGGCUCAAAUGUAUGUUGACGUAUCUGAAAGGGAUACUUCUUCGGACAAUAUACAAGGUGCUGCAUGGUUGUCGUCAGCUCGUGCCGUGAGGUGUCGGGUUAAGUCCCAUAACGAGCGCAACCCCUAUCAUUAGUUGCCAUCAGGUCAAGCUGGGGACUCUAAUGAAACUGCCUACGCAAGUAGUGAGGAAGGUGGGGAUGACGUCAAGUCAUCAUGGCCCUUACGGCCUGGGCUACACACGUGCUACAAUGGUCGGUACAAAGGGUUGCCAAGCCGCGAGGUGGAGCUAAUCCCAUAAAACCGAUCGUAGUCCGGAUCGCAGUCUGCAACUCGACUGCGUGAAGUCGGAAUCGCUAGUAAUCGUGAAUCAGAAUGUCACGGUGAAUACGUUCCCGGGCCUU
rnacentral:rRNA from 1 species